rnacentral:rRNA from 1 species
UACGGGGGGAGCAAGCGUUGUUCGGAUUUACUGGGCGUAAAGGGCGCGUAGGCGGUCAGCACAAGUCAGUUGUGAAAUCUCCGGGCUUAACUCGGAAAGGUCAACUGAUACUGUGCGACUAGAGUGCAGAAGGGGCAACUGGAAUUCUCGGUGUAGCGGUGAAAUGCGUAGAUAUCGAGAGGAACACCUGCGGCGAAGGCGGGUUGCUGGGCUGACACUGAGACACGAAGGCCAGGGGAGCAAACGGG